rnacentral:lncRNA from 1 species
UAAUUUAACCGGUAUUUUUUGGGCAAACAGAGUGAUCAGUUGUACUUUUCGUUAAUUCUCUUCUUCUUACCUGUUUCCAUUUCUCUCCUCCUAUUCAGCACGUCUAUUCUCUUCAGCAAAAUUUUAUCAAAAAUAAAAGCACGAAAAAGCACUCUCCCGUUUACCUAACCCUCCUUUCCGCACCAAUCAAAUCCCCAGUCUUCCUCCUCCAAUCACUUCAGCCAAAUUCUCGUUCUUCUGCAAAAUCACAAAAUAAAAAACACAUUUUAUUUUCUUUGAUUAGCUCUUUUACUAUACCUAUAAAUACAAAGAAUAAGAAACCAAAGAGAAAAGAAAAUACUGGAGGGACACUAUACAUGCAUGCCUGAGGAAAAUCCAAAAAAUGCAGAAUCAUACCCAAAGACGGCAGCCAGAAAUUGUUCAAAAUCAAAAUAUAAAUUUAUAAUUGGGAUAACUGAAGAGCAAGAAACUUUGUAUAGAGAUCUUAGCAAAGAUCAAUUCACAAAUUUGCCUGAUUAGCAAACGUAAAUAUUCUAAUACUGACAAAGAAAUACAGGCAACAUCAUAUACAUAUACCAACAAAUAAGGAAAACAAAAAUAAGUUACCACUAAACCUUAGUAGACUCUGAUGGCCUUUGAUCAAGUUGAAAACUGACGAAAGAUUGGAAU